rnacentral:tRNA from 4 species
GUGGCUGUAGCUCAGGGGUAGAGUAGUGGAUUGUGGUUCCAUUGGUCGUGGGUUCGAACCCCAUCUGCCACC